UGAAAGUUUAAUUCUGGCUUAGAAUUUAACUGUCUAAUUAAAUGUAUAUGUUAAUAUUGGUGUAAGGGGUUUUUAAAUAAAAUUUUUUUAAUUUUUGCAGUAUAUAAAAUUAAAAAUUAAGGCAACUUAGAUUUAGUAAUUUAGUUUAGUAUAGACAAUAUUUGUGCCAGCAGUUGCGGUUAUACAAAUUAUGCGAGUUAAAUUUAUUUAAUUUAAUUAAAAAUUAAAUUUAAUUAAUUUAGUAUUAGGCUUUUUAGGUGAAAUUUUAAGUUUAAUAAAAGUUAGUUUUUAGUUUUUGAGGUUAGGAAAUUUCUUUAUAAACUAGGAUUAGAUACCCUAUUAUUUGAAAUGUAAAUUACUAAUUAAAAUUAUUAUUAGUUAUAGUCUUAAAAGUUAAAGAUUGUGGCGGUAUUUUAGUCUAUUCAGAGGAACCUGUUUUUUAAUCGAUAGUCCACGAUAAUUUAUACUUUGUCUUUAAAUUUGCAUAUCGUCGUAGUUUGAAUAUUUUAUAAGAAUUUAAAUGUUCAUUUUUUGAAAUUACAGUAGAAUUCAGAUCAAGGUGUAGUUGAUGAUAAAGGUAAAAUGGGUUACAGUUGAUUUAUUAUUAGUUUAAAUUUUUAAAAGGUUUAAUAAAUUGGAUUUGAAAGUAAUUUUAUCUAUUUAGUUAGGAUGAUUUUGCUCUAAAAUAUGCACAUAUCGCCCGUCGCUUUCAUUUUAAAAUGAAAUAAGUCGUAACAAAGUAGGCUUAUUGGAAAAUGAGCCUAGAAUGAA
rnacentral:ncRNA from 1 species